GAUGAAGAACGUAGUGAAAUGCGAUAAGUAGUGUGAAUUGCAGAAUUCAGUGAAUCAUCGAAUCUUUGAACGCGCAUUGCGCCCCUUGGUAUUCCAUGGGGCAUGCCUGUUCGAGCGUCAUUUGUACCUUCAAGCUCUGCUUGGUAUUGGGUGUUUGUCUCGCCUCUGCGUGUAGACUCGCCUCAAAACAAUUGGCAGCCGGCGUAUUGAUUUCGGAGCGCAGUACAUCUCGCGCUUUGCACUCAUAACGACGACGUCCAAAAGUACAUUUUUACACUCUUGACCUCGGAUCAGGUAGGGAUACCCGCUGAACUUAAGCAUAUCAAUAAGCGGAGGA
rnacentral:misc_RNA from 1 species